rnacentral:rRNA from 1 species
GACGAACGCUGGCGGCGUGCUUAACACAUGCAAGUCGAACGGAAAGGCCCUGCUUUUGUGGGGUGCUCGAGUGGCGAACGGGUGAGUAACACGUGAGUAACCUGCCCUUGACUUUGGGAUAACUUCAGGAAACUGGGGCUAAUACCGGAUAGGAGCUCCUGCUGCAUGGUGGGGGUUGGAAAGUUUCGGCGGUUGGGGAUGGACUCGCGGCUUAUCAGCUUGUUGGUGGGGUAGUGGCUUACCAAGGCUUUGACGGGUAGCCGGCCUGAGAGGGUGACCGGCCACAUUGGGACUACGAUACGGCCCAGACUCCUACGGGAGGCAGCAGUGGGGAAUAUGGCACAAUGGGCGGAAGCCUGAUGCAGCAACGCCGCGUGCGGGAUGACGGCCUUCGGGUUGUAAACCGCUUUCGCCUGUGACGAAGCGUGAGUGACGGUAAUGGGUAAAGAAGCACCGGCUAACUACGUG